ensembl:lincRNA
CAAGAUAGAUUAAUUCAGCCUGGUCAGUGUCAUCCAGUCACAAGAGCAGAGCUCACCAGGUAUGUCAGUUACUGAUGUAUCCUGAAGUGUUGAAACUAGGGAAGUUCCAGAUUGGCUGUCUCGACUUUAGGAAGUGGUUGGCAUGGUACCAGCACUGAAGGGAACACCGCAGGGCAUUCUGGGAACAAUCUCCUGGGUUCCAAAGUGGCCUUAUUCACAGGAAUCACAUCAGGAUGCAUCAUCUUCAUCGUCAUCAUCAUUACCUUGGUGGUACUGCUGCUCAAGUACCACAGGAGGCACCGCAAACACUCUCCACAGCACAGUACCACACCCAAGCAAGGUGGCAACAACUCUGGCUGGGAACCCAGUGAAGUUAUCAUACCGCUAAGGACUGCAGAUAAUGUCUUCCACCCACACUAUGAGAAGGUCAGUGGGGACUAUGGUGAUCCAGUGUACAUCAUGCAGGAGAUGCCCCCACAGAAUCCUGGCAACAUUUACUACAAGGUCUGAGGCCUGGGACCUUCGCCUCGCAAGGGAACUCUCACCUUGUUGUGGGUGCAGGGACUGAGCCUGGCUCUGGGGGCGGAAUGCCUCCUGGAAGAGCCUGGAGCAGGAGACUUUUGUAGGCUGUAGUUUUUCAGCCUUGGGGAGCCACAGACCCUCCCUGGAAGCCGGAAGACUGCUAAGAAAUCCCCACUUGAACUGCGGUGUCCCUGUGCGGACCUCUAUGCUAUGCACCCAGCCAGGCACUCAGGCCUCUGCAGAUCCCAUGGAGGACACGGUGGGCUAUGGGUGAUGCAGCAGUACCUUAGGACAAAGUUGCACCUCUGCCUCUGUGUUUCCUGCCAUGCACACUGGACUUGUCCCUCAGACCUUGGGUAACCUAAGUAAGAUUUUCCAAGAUCUGUAGCAUUUAGUCCUCACUCCUUCUGUUUCCAGGACUCUGCAACACCUCCCCAGACCCUUCACUCCACAUCCUGAAUCAUUCAGGGACACUCACCACGGGGCCUUGGCCCCAUCCUUUACACCAAGAUGAGAUUAAAUGGGUAUUAUGUACAGAAUUCUGCUUUCCUGGAGGCUUGGCUGGGUUGCCUGGGAGGGGUGGCCAAGUGAGGAAGGUGCUGGCUACCACCACAGGUGGAGCAUAGUGGGGAAAGCAAGAAGGAAACAAUAGAUAGUGCUUUGAUUUUGCUGAGAGGAAAGAGGAAAGUGGGAGACUACAGACUUUGGUGAGUGGUGGUGAGCUCACUAUCACAGGUAUGCAACUAGGAAUCAAAGUCCCUCUCCUGAAGUGGAACCAAGGGGCCAUUGCUUCAUGUUCUCUUUUGACAUCAUCAAUUGCUGAUUCUCCUGCAGGAUGACUUUGAUGCUAUGGGAUUUCUGCCAUUUUGCCAGCACUGGCAUGGCCCUUGGAUCCACCACUCCAUUUGAACUACUCACGCAGCUCAUAUUGUCUUUUGUUACAAAUCUUACAGAUGGGGGUGCUUCCAGGUAUUUAGGCCCACAUUCUAUUUUAAGGCUGUAUAUUCGGUUUUCAUAAAUUGAUCUUGGAGGCCCAAUUAUCAUCCCUGUCCAUCUUGUAAGUGUCAUUUCCUCGUCACCCUCUAGACCCCGGCUAACUGUGCCAUCACCUACUCCUUUCUGUCCUUCCAACUCUUCCAACGGUCGGAAAUUUCGAGGGACUUUUACACCAGAGCCUGUGGUGGCUGUCAACUUGCUUGCCAAUUGUUUUCUCUUAACUCGAGUUCCCGAUAUCUUGAGGGAUUCUGUGAUCCCAGAAAGAAAUAAAUCUUCCUUGCUAAAUGCUUGUCCCAUUGUUCACCUUUUGCACAUAGGUAGUGUUCAUCUACUGAAAGUCCCAAGUGCUGGGUAGGCUUCUGGGUCUUCCUCCAACCAAGGCAUAUAAUUAACCUUGUAAUAGAUAUCUUAAUGCAUGGAGGGGCCAGUCACUCUGAUGAG